AAAAGUUUAUUCACACCAGAGCGGCCAGAGUUUAGGCCAAGCUGCAUUCAAAAUAAGAUUAACCUUAAAGUUCUCAGCAUAGCUACAAAGUCAAAGUAGUGUAUAACGGAUCGUGGGGUCAUAUUUCCCUUUUAAGCAAUAUUCUGUGAAGCCCUGUGCAUGCAAGGGCCAGAACCCUUUCGAUGCAGUAUGAACACCACAUAAAUCAAUCAAUCAGUUUUUCUAUAAGAAACUGUGCACCCUUAACAAUGAGCUCUUUUUUCCCAUCUGUGACAAGGCAUGUGGUAUAAGAGGCAUUCCUUCUGUGAAAAGGAUGCAGCGCACUGCUUGCAGGAAAAGGCACGCUUUCCCGUGUGGCAGCGCAGAUGGCGUGUCAGGUGCGAACUCUGAGUGAAUGCUACCGGGCACAGGUGGCAGGGAUAGGGGCGGUCUCCUGUGUGGCUGCGCACAUGUUGUUUGAGGUUGAAACUCGCAAUGAACACUUUCGGGCAGAGGUGGCACUUGAACGGGCGUUCCCCUGAGUGUGUGCGCAGGUGAGCCAUCAUGUGUGUCUUUUGCUUGGUCUUGUAAGGGCAGA
rnacentral:lncRNA from 1 species